rnacentral:rRNA from 1 species
CACACUGGGACUGAGACACGGCCCAGACUCCUACGGGAGGCAGCAGUGGGGAAUCUUGCGCAAUGGGCGAAAGCCUGACGCAGCGACGCCGCGUGCGGGAAGAAGGCCUUCGGGUUGUAAACCGCUUUCAGGAGGGACGAAGCCACUCGGGUUAAUAGCCCAGAGGGUGACGGUACCUCCAGAAGAAGCCCCGGCUAACUACGUGCCAGCCGCCGCCGUAACAC